CAGAUCUAAAAAUAUCAUCUUGAACAUGGAAAAUUUGACUGAUGUGGACUACACAGUGAUACAGUCUUUGAAAACCUUACUUUGUGACUGCAGUUACCACGGAAUGAAGUUGGUUCUAGCCAAUGGGCAGCCUCAUGUCAAGAAACAAAUUGAGUCAGCUGACAUAAAGAAUUUAACAAUUUUCACAACAUUGUCUGAAGCUCUGGAAGAAUUAGUUUGCCAAGAGCUACAGAGAGUGAAUUAAACUAAUUGUACAGGUGAAGACUUUGCUUUUGUUAUCUCCAAACCUUAAAUUGACUGUGUGUUCUUUUUUUUAAUUAUUAAAAUGAACAUUUUUUAGUUUUUAACAUUUUAUAACAAUAUCAUUGGAAGAAAUGUUUAAUAAAGCACCCUUUAAGCUGAGGUAUAUAGGAUUGGCUACUGUUAAGUAAUUAAUUGACUAAUUUUAACCAUUUGAUUCAGUAAUUUGAGUCUUGUUCUUUGACUUAAGUCUUGCUUAAAAAAAACUUUUAUUGUUUUCUUUGUGUUUUCUUUUUCCCACAAAGCUUAUAUCCAU
rnacentral:sRNA from 1 species